rnacentral:sRNA from 1 species
UGUGUAUAUAUGUGUGUGUGUGAGUGUGUGUGUGUGUGUGAGGAAGUUACAGUUUAAUGUUGGUUAGUCUCAAUUGUCGACGAUUGAUGCGCAGCUUUGCCAGCUUGUUGUUGUUGUUGGACAUAUUUAUGCACCGUGCAACAUGAGCUGACACCCAAUUCGUAUUGCAAACGAGAGAAUCGCUAAAGUGACGAAACUAUCAACACCGGCAGCAAUCAAAACGGAAGCGGAAGUCAGGCCAAAGAGUAAAAAGCAGCAGCGGAAGAAGAAGAAGUAGAGGUAGCGGCUGAGUGAGAAAACCGACAAAGAAGAAGACGAAGGAGAAGAAUCAUUUCUGAGUUCUGAGUCGACAGUUGAAAACAAUGCAAAUUAAAAUACAAUAAAAUGUAAAACACGGAAG